rnacentral:rRNA from 1 species
UACGGAGGGUGCGAGCGUUGUCCGGAAUCACUGGGCGUAAAGGGCGCGUAGGCGGCUGGGGAAGUCGGCGGUGAAAGCCCGGAGCUCAACUCCGGGUCGGCCGUCGAGACUCCUCGGCUCGAGCUCACUAGAGGCAGAUGGAAUUCCGGGUGUAGCGGUGGAAUGCGUAGAGAUCCGGAAGAACACCGGUGGCGAAGGCGGUCUGCUGGGGUGAGGCUGGACGCUGAGGCGCGACAGCGUGGGGGAGCAAACAGG